AAAGGAAUAGACGGGGCCCCGCACAAGCGGCGGAGCAUGCGGAUUAAUUCGAUGCAACGCGAAGAACCUUACCUGGGUUUGACAUAUACCGGAAACGUCAAGAGAUAGGCGCCCCGCAAGGUCGGUAUACAGGUGGUGCAUGGCUGUCGUCAGCUCGUGUCGUGAGAUGUUGGGUUAAGUCCCGCAACGAGCGCAACCCUCGUCCAAUGUUGCCAGCGGAUAAUGCCGGGGACUCAUUGGAGACCGCCGGGGUCAACUCGGAGGAAGGUGGGGAUGACGUCAAGUCAUCAUGCCCCUUAUGUCCAGGGCUUCACGCAUGCUACAAUGGCCGGUACAAAGAGCUGCAAACCUGCAAGGGUGAGCGAAUCUCAAAAAGCCGGUCUCAGUUCGGAUUGGGGUCUGCAACUCGACCCCAUGAAGUAGGAGUCGCUAGUAAUCGCAGAUCAGCAACGCUGCGGUGAAUACGUUCCCGGGGCUUGCACACACCGCCCGU
rnacentral:rRNA from 1 species